UUGAACGCUGGCGGCAUGCCUUACACCUGCAAGUCGAACGGCAGCACGGACUUCGGUCUGGUGGCGAGUGGCGAACGGGUGAGUAAUGUAUCGGAACGUACCUUUCAGUGGGGGAUAACGUAGCGAAAGUUACGCUAAUACCGCAUAUUCUGUGAGCAGGAAAGCAGGGGAUCGAAAGACCUUGCGCUGAUUGAGCGGCCGAUAUCAGAUUAGCUAGUUGGUGGGGUAAAGGCCUACCAAGGCGACGAUCUGUAGCGGGUCUGAGAGGAUGAUCCGCCACACUGGAACUGAGACACGGUCCAGACUCCUACGGGAGGCAGCAGUGGGGAAUUUUGGACAAUGGGGGCAACCCUGAUCCAGCCAUGCCGCGUGAGUGAAGAAGGCCUUCGGGUUGUAAAGCUCUUUCGGCCGGGAAGGAAUCGCAUAGGCUAAUACCCUGUGUGGAUGACGGUACCGGAAUAAGAAGCACCGGCUAACUACGUG
rnacentral:rRNA from 1 species